CUUGAGCCCUUCAUGGGCUAGCACACCAACACCAUCCCCCCAGAUGCUUCAGUUGUUGGCUUCGAAUGGCUUACUAUUUCCAUUUCUACGGAGAACUGCCAUCUCAGGAAUCACCUCACCCUGGAGUUUAUUCCCCUCACCCACAGGGUGGCUGGCAGCCAACAGCUGACUCGUACAGAGAGUGGCACAAUGAAGAUUUGAACCCACGUAUGUCUCACUGGACGUAUGCCCAGGAACUGAUUGGGAAAGUGAGGCCCAGGGGUGCAAACCAGUCCAAUAUUAGCGGCAGAGCUCUUCCCUAGACCCGUCUUGAAGCUGCUGCCCCAUCAUUUCCUCCAGGUAGCUGGUGGAUACUGUUUAUCUGGUGCUCACUAUGCCCUAGGUAACACUGUAAGUGAUUUUCAUUAAAUUUAAUCUCAUUCAAUCUUA
rnacentral:lncRNA from 1 species